UGCUUACACAUGCAAGUCGAACGGAAAGGCCCUUCGGGGUACUCGAGUGGCGAACGGGUGAGUAACACGUGGGUGAUCUGCCCUGCACUUUGGGAUAAGCCUGGGAAACUGGGUCUAAUACCGAAUAUGACCGCGCACUUCCUGGUGUGUGGUGGAAAGCUUUUGCGGUGUGGGAUGGGCCCGCGGCCUAUCAGCUUGUUGGUGGGGUAAUGGCCUACCAAGGCGACGACGGGUAGCCGGCCUGAGAGGGUGACCGGCCACACUGGGACUGAGAUACGGCCCAGACUCCUACGGGAGGCAGCAGUGGGGAAUAUUGCACAAUGGGCGCAAGCCUGAUGCAGCGACGCCGCGUGAGGGAUGACGGCCUUCGGGUUGUAAACCUCUUUCAAUAGGGACGAAGCGCAAGUGACGGUACCUAUAGAAGAAGGACCGGCCAACUACGUGCCAGCAGCCGCGGUAAUACGUAGGGUCCGAGCGUUGUCCGGAAUUACUGGGCGUAAAGAGCUCGUAGGUGGUUUGUCGCGUUGUUCGUGAAAACUCACAGCUUAACUGUGGGCGUGCGGGCGAUACGGGCAGACUAGAGUACUGCAGGGGAGACUGGAAUUCCUGGUGUAGCGGUGGAAUGCGCAGAUAUCAGGAGGAACACCGGUGGCGAAGGCGGGUCUCUGGGCAGUAACUGACGCUGAGGAGCGAAAGCGUGGGGAGCGAACAGGAUUAGAUACCCUGGUAGUCCACGCCGUAAACGGUGGGUACUAGGUGUGGGUUUCCUUCCUUGGGAUCCGUGCCGUAGCUAACGCAUUAAGUACCCCGCCUGGGGAGUACGGCCGCAAGGCUAAAACUCAAAGAAAUU
rnacentral:rRNA from 1 species